CACACACAAUCAAAUGCUCAAUAACUGUGCAAGCUACCCCUUCCACUUGUGUGUUAGUUAAAAUAUUUAUUUUUAAUACUUCAGGUUGCUCUCCUUCGGGGUAGUACCACAUUUUGCCGCUACUUGCCGGGUAGCACUAAGGUAUGUUGGUAGAGAUGCAGCGUAAUUAAGAGCAAAAGGAAGACACAGGUGUGGGCAGGAAAGGAUGGUAGCCUCAACAUUGAGAUCUACAGAAAACCUAGCCACACAGACCAGUACCUUCUACUUGAUUUUUAUCACCCACUGGAACACAAGCUAGAACUUAUCAGAACCCGAGAGGACAGAGCAGAGAAAAUCCCCACCACCGUUAAUGGAAGACAGAAGGAGCAGACGCACAUCAGGAAGGUUCUUACUGUGGGUAUCCAAAAUGGGCCUUUGUCAAAUCUGCCAAGAGGAGUCUCUGUACCCGAGUCUGAAGACAGAAACAGGAGGCGAAAUGUGGUGGCACCCUACAUGAUGGGUUCGUCAGAGAAAUUUUGAAGGAUUUUCUCCAAACACUGUAUACCAAUGCAUUUCAAACCCACCAACACCCUUAGAUAAAAGCCGGUUCACCCCAAGAAUAAAAUCCAGCAGUUUUGUUUAUGGCGUGCAAUGCAGUGAGGAGUCCAACGGCCUCUACAACCGAAGCAACUGCUUCACAGACGCAUCGACGGCCGGCUCCUUCGGGUCCAGAAUCAGCGCUUCAUUUGCAUCUAAAAAAACAACAGACUUUUCUUCGACGACCACAACGUCCAAAUUCUGAGGUGCAAGAGAAGCCAUCUACUGUAUGUCAAACUAGAAAAGCCAUCUCAUAAAAGAGGUUUGAGACAUCACCUAUCGUCUGCAUAUAACAACGUCCUGACAUCCAACGUCCAAAGGUCACCUCGUCAAGGGGAAGAGUGGCCCUAACAAGCUGUUUUGUAACAACCACACGGCUGUUUCGCCAACCACACCAGGCAACAAAAACAACCUACUGUUGACGACCCCCAUAAGGCAUAAAUAGGGAGACUCCACACCUAAAACUUUAGAACUGAAGAGGCCUUUUGGAUUAAAGGUGAAACAUCUUCAGCAAAGAAGAACAGUCCAGUUUCCUUGAUUCAAACUUUGCAGAUUACCAAGACCUGGAUGACUGAGAAUCUACACAGACGUGUUUUAUGUAAAUUUUACAGUAACCUUCCGCUGGUAGUAACAGUGUGUUUUAUUAUGUUUAAGUGUUAUAACAAGUUUAAAUGUGUUUAAAGUGUGUGGGAGAGGUAAAACUAGAUAUCAAAAAGUUUUUUAAUAUGGUCUCUCUGUAUUGCGGAUUUUCACCUAUUGCGGGUUGAUCUGGAAUGAAUUCCCCGCGAUAAACGGGGGGGGGGGUUCACUGUACUGCAAACCAGUCAGUCAUUGUUACACACCACAAGUGCUUUAGCAGGCAGGGAUUAGUUGUUUUUUUUUUUUAAAGAGGGACUGUCACUAGUCCUAAGUAAACAAUGCUGCUUGGCGUCUGUGUGAAAAAAAAAAAAAGUGUGAUAAUAAAGAAGAUGACACACGUGAUAAAAAGCAAAGCGCAACAUGAUCUGUUUGGCAAUAAAGCACAAUGAUAUUUUGCAGCCUGCCUUCGCUUUGCACUGUGUCCCUCUGGGGCUAUGUGUUUCAUCCAAGAAGGCUUUCAUAAAUAAAGGGCGUGCGGUUUUAGUGGACAGGACAAUAACAGGAUGUUUGAUGACUUGCAGCUCGGCAAGUGGUCGUUUUAGUUUGAAACAAUUCAAAAGGCAUAUUUGACCCUCGUCAGGCUGGCAGGGGCGAGCACGCUGGCGGUGGGGGGAUGUCAUUCACGUUCACUAAUGCGGCUUACAUAAACACUUACAUAAUCUUACCGUUUUGCCACAUGUGAGCCAAACAUAUUCCAGUGGACUGGCAGUGUGACGGGUGCUGCCCCAGUAACCUCUGAGCAUGUGAUAGCGGCGUAUCCACGUGCGGCACCGUACCACCACGCAAGCUUCGGCAUGGCAAUAACAUUUAAAAAAUAAAAAGGCGAUCAAAGGGGAGUAUCUGUUGGCUGUUACAAGAGUUGCAUAAUCCACCCACUCGUGUCAACUCCCUUUUAAUUUGAGUAUAUGUACUGUACUCCUUUUUAAUUACAGCCCUCAAAGCAUUAAAAGAAAAUUGUCUCCAAGCUGAUUUUUUGGGGGGUGGCAGUGCUCCAAAAGUAACCACACCUCCACAAGCUCUAAAUUUUCAACGAUCUUCAGUACAUUAAGCCUCUCAAGAAUCAUGGUUCAAACAAGCAUUAGAUUUACUUUUGCAUAUGUGUCAAUCCACUGUUGAUAGUUAGUAUUGAUGGUGUUUAUUUCAAUCGCCAUUGUUUAGGUAUUGACUAGUUUCUUGAAACGUGCAUGUAUAGUUUUACUGCUACCUACAAUGAUGAUGAGUAUUCUUGCUGCAGUUCAUGUCUGUAUACACUAUACUGUAUAUACAGAUGCAUCUCAAGCUCCUUUUAUACCCAAUCAUGGCACCCACAUCUUCCCAAUUGGCCUGUUCACCUGUGGGAUGUUCCAAACAGGUGUUUGAUGAGCAUUCCUCAACUUUCGCAGUCUUUUUUUGCCACCUGUCCCAGCUUUUUUGGAAUGUGUUGCAGCCAUAAAAUUCGAAGUUCAUGAUUAUUUGCUAUAAACAAGAAAGUUGAUCAGUUUGAACAUUAAAUAUCUUGUCUUUGUAGUUUAUUCAAUUAAAUAUAUAUAUAUAUAUAUAUAUAUAUAUAUAUAUGAAUAGAACUUCUGAAAUACUAUUGAUAUGACUACUACAGUCAGCACACGAAGGUCAUAGUGCAGUGUUUCUCAAGCUUAAUUGAGCCAAGGCAACCAUUUUACAUGAGAAACUUCUCAUGGCACACCACCAAACAAAAAUGUAUGAAUGCUGAUAUAAAGAUGUUCUCGUCUCAAUUUCCUCGAAGGUCGUCUUUACUGACUUACCUGAAUGACUUACUAUCACCUCCAUUUUCCAAACGUAUCAACUACUGGAAUUCGACUUGCCAACGAGAGCUGUUUACAUUCGAUGACCCCCACACCUUGGAUCCGACGUCACAUCCGGUUGUCGCUGUUUGACAAGUCGGCCAGCUCAGGGCGCUGGAAUGUAGCGCCUCACCUUGUGUCCUAACCAUUGCUAGGCGAAUAGCUAUAACUUUUAAAGAGAGUCAAUGGGGCAAGAUUUGCAUGCCCCAGACUGGAAAUACACCAGAGAGGAACAAAGCAACUUUACUCAUCAUUAACGCCUGUAUAUACUAUUUAUCCUGCUCAUUUAAAAAUACAUAUACAUAUAUUUUGAAAUAUUUUUAUUUGAAUAUUUCAUUUUCAUUAUUACAUUUUUGCCUUUUUCAAGGUGACUCAACUGAGUGAUGGGAGGUUGCCCGAGAACCCUCUAUUGACCUGUCUACUGCUGUUUAAAUUGUCCAUAGGUGUGAAUGUGCGUCUGAAUGGUGAUCCGUCAAGAUGCUCCGUGCGACUGGCUAGCGCACAGUUGAAGGUGUACUCCGCCUUAAAGUCAGUUAGGAGAGGCUCCAGCUCAUCUGUGACCCGAAUGAGGACAAGCGCUAUAGAAAAUGGAUGGAUGAUAUUAUUACACUUAUGUGUUGAUACUAUCCACUUUGCUGCCGUAAACCUGGAAUUUUAUCAUUCUGGGCCUUAAAGAAAUUUAUUGAAUAAGCCUUUAUUGUUUUUUUUUUUUUUUAGCUUUUUGUCCUUUUUAAAAUGUUUUGUUAUUCCUCUCUGCCAAUCAUCAUCCCACUUAGUUUUCUAGUUUUCCGUUAAUGUUUGACAACUAAGGGAGAUUCUCACUGUCCGAGGAGCCACAAAAUGCUUCCUGCAGUAUUUCCUUCUUUCUGUAAAAGACGUGAUGAAACGCCCAUGAAAAGAACAAAAAAAAUCCAAACAAUAAUUGCACAGGGGCAGUCUGGCCUUGAGACAUGUCUCUGAAGAGGCCACAGCUGCACAUGCUACUUCAAACUGGCAAUUAUCUCUCUAAUGACCUGCUUUGGUUACACUUGGUCGACUUAUGCGGACAAACUCCAAAAGGUUCUUGUCAUUCAGGGGUGGAAGGGUUUGUUUUCAGCAUGUCAAGAAAACAUUUUUGGAAGUCUUAACUGCUUUUAUGUGGGCAUGUGUCUGCUGAAACUGAACUCACUUUGUGAGUUUACUUGACAAGGCGUGCUUGUGUUAGUGCCGGCUCUCAAAGCCUCCAUUUAUUCGGAUGCCACAUAUCUCAUUGCAGUGCUGGGAAGUAACAAAGUAAAAAAUACAACAAAAUUUUUUUUGGUAGACUUCAGGUAUCUGUACUUCUUUUUCGGACAACUUUCUUAUUGCUACAUACAUUUGAAAACAGAUAUCUGUACUUUCUACUUCAAAAUAGGCUUAUUUUUUUCAACCUCCACGGAAGAUGACAAGUUGCAAAAAAAAAAAAAAAAAAAGAGGUCAACUCAGUGCAGGUUGAGAUAUUGGGGUCUUAUAAGGUGGGAAAAAAACAGAGACAGCAGUGACCCGGAAGAAUGCGAGAUUAACAGAUACUGUACAAAGAAGCAACAUACUAGACAAGCCCGCUCCUUGUCCAUUUUGAAAACUCUUAAAACCCAUUUUUAUUUCUUGGGUUUCAACUCAGUAGAUAUGCUGCCACUCUUUCAUUGUUUUAUUUUUAACGUUGUUAUUGUUUUUAAUUGUUCUGUUUAAUUUAGUAUGUUCAGUUAUUAUUUAUGUACUGCACUUUCAUGCAGUGGUUGGUUUUUAAAGUCCUCAAUAAAUAACGUUGAGUUAUCAGUAGCUAAUUUAGCUUUUUUUAAACUCAGUUCACAAAGUUCGCAAAACAAUGGUAGCAUGCUGCAUAAAGGUCAAGCCGACGCUGGAGUUUUUUUAAUUAUUAUUAUUAUUAUUUUUUUCAUUAUGAAGUCAUAAAAAGAAACAGUUUGCAUUGCAGAGAAAUUUGUUUUCCUUUGUUGCGCCAAGUUAUUGAAACUGCGAAUUGAAAUUAAGUUUGACAUUUUACUUUUGUACUUAAAUACAUUUCAGAGUAAAUACAGGAAUUGAAUCAGUACUUUUACCAGGCUUCUUUUACACAUCUGUACUUCUACUUAAAUACAGAGUGUGAGUACUUUGCCACCUCUGUCUCACUGUGUAAUUAAAGUACUCGUAGUAGGAACCACCCACCUUACAUCAAAUGACGUGUGUUGAUACUUUGAGUGCUGUGGCCUCCAGUUAAUCAAAUGCAAACUAGAAAUUUAGCCGUCAACAUGCCUGAAAGUGCACUAAAGAGAGAGGCCAGUCGACAUGUUUUACAGCUUUUUCCAUAAAAAGGCAUGAGACAGCUUUAGCGAGGUCUUAUCUGGGAAAGAGGGCAGGCAGGGACAGAUGCACAUGUUCAUUCCUCUGACAACAAGAAAGAGUCAUUUGUAGGCUCCACCUGCAUGCACAGAAUAGGCGGGGCCAAGCCCACAUCACUCUUGACAGCCCCUCCCAGACUCGUACUCUGACUUUUGUCGUGUGCACAAGCUUUCCUCACAAUUUUGGGGAGAGUUUAUCAGUAUGCCAUGAGUGAGGC